CAUUUUACCCUUUGAAAGUAUCGAUCGAUGCUGUUCAAUUAUAAAUGGUAUAUCAUUUGUCUUCAACUUAUUGUCGAGAACAAACAUCGUUAUUUGAACGUUAGUAAUCUUCGAGUAAUUUAACCUCUCAUCGAUAGAAUUUCAAUAAAGUACCGUUAGAAGAAGCAUGAGUAUGACGUAAUUAUAACAUUCGAUAUACGUAUACCAGAAAAAUGCGCAGUAUUAUUUCCGACUGUUAUUCUGCGCGUAAGCUGGAAUGGCGGGAGGAAGGGACGCGCUUAUUCGAGCCUAGCGGCUUGUUUUUAUAGUCGCCGAUUGUCAACACCGUGUCCUGUUUCCAAAUCGUCCAUUUCUAUUACGUGUCGAGUGACGAUUGAGAAAAAUUUUCUGUAUUAGCUGCGGAUCUGUGGAGGAAUGUAGCAGAGCCACGAAGAGGACCUCGUCGGCGUCCUUUGGCAGACAUAAAGGUUUUUUAUUCCGAGGUGUUAUCCUCGAAGUAAUGGUCGCAGUAAACCAUGGAUGCCCCGGACGGACCAUCGAUUGUGGGUUCUCUCGCGGCGCGGCUCUUACGGCUUCGCGGAGGAGUAUAGAGUAUAGAGGUCUCGCAUUACCUUGACUUACAGGCACUCGCCGCGUUCCUCGACGCUUCCGUUCGUCCACUAAUUGCAAGACGGUAAGGCAGCUUUUCGUCGCGAAUCCACCAGUGCGAAUUGCAGCGUGAAGAUCGCAACCAGCGAUCGAUGACACGAUCAGGAUGCAAGGAUUUCCGAGAGCCGGUAUCCAACGGGUAUUUUUCUUGGGCUCCCCUCGCGGUUCGUCGUCGUUCGUUCCGGCAGAAACCCAAUUCCUAUCCCGAACUCCCAGGACUACUAAAUCCUUCGAAUCGACCCGCGAUUCUUGGUCGUCCCGAAGAUUAUAGACAUCCCGAAGCUCCAGAAUUUUCAGUGAGUCGAGAAUUUAGAGUUAUAUUUCGGGUCUCGUUUCUUCCACGGGUUAAAUCGUUGGAUCGUCGAUCCACCGAGGAUCCGAGGAUCUCCGAGCGGAAAGCGCGACCCUCGAGCACCGGAAACCCUCGAGGUCCCUACCGGCGGUGCAGCACAGGGUAGAAACAACGUCGUGACACGCACCGCGUAUCUGACGAGCGGCGGUCACGCGAAACCGAUCCCUUCUGGGAACUAAUUUCCACCCACAGCCGUCGUCGCCGGCAAACCGUCCUACGCAAAAACGACUUUUGUCGUUGUCCUGUCGCUUUCGUACGCCCCGACGACCCGCAAGAAACCUUCCACGGCGAACGCGCGCGCUUACCGUUAAUUAAUUAAUGCCCGAUAAUCACCGAUCGUCCCCCGUUCCUCGCGAUGCUGGUUCGUUACCGGUUAUCGUGACUUUCCUCGAUUCUCCCUCGCCGGCUAAUCACAUUCCUGUCGACGGUAACCGCGUGAACUCGAUAGAUUCAUCCUCGCGACACCACGGGGUCCCGAAGAACGCCUCCCUCGCCGAUCCGUGACGAUGCGGAUCUUCGGGAGAUCCGGAAACUGGAUCUAGAAAUCCCCGUUUCGGCUAUUCGUUCUCGUUAUCGAUUGGAAAUUUAGGAUUUCGGAAUCUACCGAACGUAUCCGAAUCUACGGUUAUUCUUCGCCGCGGACAUUGCGACAAAGUGUUUUCGGUGCAACACGCGUUCGUUCGGCCACACGCGUAGAAGCCGGUAAUCCGGUCAUCGGAUCGUCGGAUCGUCGGGCAACAUGGGGGGACAAGGGACAAGUUUCUCGCGUUCUUCGAUA